rnacentral:snRNA from 8 species
AUAUAUUUUAUAAAAAAAAAAAUCUGUUCUUAUCAGUUUAAUAUCUGAUACGUCCCCCAUCGGGGGACUACAUAUUAAAUGGAUUUUUCGAACAGGGAGUCGGAAAUGGGGCUUGCUCCGUCCGCUCCACGCAUCGACCCGGU